GAGCACAGCGGGCGCGACGGGGGCGGUGCGGUCUCGGCUGGCGGCAGAAGCGGCCGCGGCGGGUCUGGGCAGGGCCGGGGAGCGCGGCCGGAGCGGAACGGGAAGGGGUCGGAGUCGCAGCCCGGCCGGCGUGGCGUGCUCAGUGGGACCCGAGGCGAGCGGCGGCCGAGUUCUGGAGUCUGGAAGCCAGAGGUGAAGCUGCAGUAGUGUUGAGAUCUCUUCUGGGUUACAGAUCCAACUGGUUAUACACUUAUACAGCUGAAGAAGGUCUGCCUGUAGGUUUUGAGCAUCUGAUCCCUGAACUGGAGUGUCUGCUGCCACCCCCUCAUCCUCUGCAGAAAUGUCUGUCACCUAUGAUGAUUCUGUGGGAGUGGAAGUGUCCAGCGACAGCUUCUGGGAGGUUGGGAACUAUAAACGGACUGUGAAGCGGAUUGAUGAUGGCCACCGCCUGUGUGGUGACCUCAUGAACUGUUUGCACGAGCGGGCACGCAUCGAGAAGGCAUAUGCACAGCAGCUCACUGAGUGGGCCCGACGCUGGAAGCAGCUUGUAGAGAAGGGACCACAGUAUGGGACAGUGGAGAAAGCCUGGAUGGCUGUCAUGUCUGAAGCAGAGAGGGUGAGUGAGCUACACCUGGAAGUGAAGGCAUCGCUGAUGAAUGAAGACUUUGAGAAGAUCAAGAACUGGCAGAAGGAAGCCUUUCACAAGCAGAUGAUGGGAGGCUUCAAGGAGACCAAGGAAGCAGAGGAUGGCUUUCGAAAGGCCCAGAAGCCCUGGGCCAAGAAGCUGAAAGAGGUAGAAGCAGCAAAGAAAGCACACCACACAGCAUGCAAAGAAGAGAAACUGGCCAUCUCUCGGGAAGCCAACAGCAAAGCAGAUCCAUCCCUCAACCCUGAGCAGCUGAAGAAACUGCAAGACAAGAUAGAAAAAUGCAAGCAGGAUGUUCUAAAGACCAAGGACAAGUAUGAGAAGACCCUGAAGGAGCUUGAUCAAACCACACCCCAGUACAUGGAGAACAUGGAGCAGGUGUUCGAGCAGUGCCAGCAGUUUGAAGAGAAGCGCCUGCGCUUCUUCCGAGAGGUUCUGCUGGAAGUUCAGAAGCACUUGGACCUGUCCAAUGUGGCUAGCUACAGAACCAUUUACCGAGAGCUGGAGCAGAGCAUCAAAGCAGCUGAUGCUGUGGAGGACCUCAGGUGGUUCCGGGUUAACCAUGGGCCAGGCAUGGCUAUGAACUGGCCACAGUUUGAGGAGUGGUCUGCAGAUCUGAAUCGAACUCUCAGCCGGAGAGAGAAGAAGAAGGCUGCUGAUGGUGUUACCCUAACAGGAAUCAAUCAGACAGGUGACCAGUCUGGACAGAACAAGCCUGGCAGCAACCUUAGUGUCCCGAGCAACCCCGCCCAGUCCACGCAGUUACAGUCCAGCUACAACCCCUUCGAGGAUGAGGACGACACGGGCAGCAGCGUCAGUGAGAAGGAGGACAUUAAGGCCAAAAAGUUGGUGAACACACACUUCCCUCUGGCUUCCACCUCACUCUCUGUGUCUCCUCUCUCUAUCCAGGGGUCUUUUGGGGUCUCACCGCUCUGCACUUCAGCAGUGCAUGGGUCCUCCAGGACCUUGGCAUGUUCCAGACCUGCUGGGACAGUGUCUGGCCUCUCCACCUCUCUGGGAGGGCACAGCUAACACUCUUCGGUUGCUUUUUCUCUGUCCUGUGUUAACCCUUUAAGGCUUGAGCAGCACCACUACAGGAAGACAGACAGGCAGUAUAAACCAGGGACCUGCUGAAGUGGGUAAAGCUCUACCUGCAGGCACUCCCCUGGGAUACUCACAGCCUCCAGCUUCUCUUGAGGGCUCAGGAUGAGUGUGGAUGGCAUGAAGGCUCCGAGGGGCCUGGCUGCACCUGCCUGUGGGGCAGGAACUCUGGGUGGGGACCCAUUCUCUGUCAGUCGCAUGUUAAGAGCCUCACGUCAUCCUCUGUUGCAGUGUCAGCAGCUAUGAGAAGACUCAGAAUUACCCUACUGACUGGUCUGACGAUGAGUCUAACAACCCUUUCUCCUCGACGGAUGCCAAUGGGGACUCCAACCCAUUUGAUGAAGACACUACCUCAGGAACGGAAGUGCGAGUUCGCGCCCUCUAUGACUAUGAGGGGCAAGAACAUGAUGAGCUGAGCUUCAAGGCUGGGGAUGAGCUGACCAAGAUAGAGGAUGAAGAUGAGCAGGGUUGGUGCAAGGGACGUUUAGACAGCGGGCAGGUUGGCCUGUACCCAGCCAACUAUGUCGAGGCUAUCCAGUGACAGUUCAUGGGCAGGCUGGCGGAGAGAUGGAAGUGGGCAGUGGAGGAGCUCCGUUAGCCUUGGCCUGGGCAGUGACACCUCUAGUGCCCCCAGCAGCCAUGUAGGCAUCCACUCCACCUGCAAAAGACAAUGGCUCUGUUGUUGGCUUCCUGGUGUGCUUUGAAGGCAGAUGAGCUGGUGAUUUCCUUGGGCACUUGGCCCCUUUCUAAGCAUAUCUGGGCAGAUCUAGGCACAGGAAGAUACGGUCCAACAGCGAGAGCCAGGCCCCUCCCCACCCCCACCAGCUCUCUCUAUCAUGGAUCUGCACCUUCUUGCCCUUGUCUCUCCUGAGUCAAUGACGGAUCAUACUGAUUCUUGUUCCAUUGAUUAUUUUCUCUGAUGAGGCCCUGCCUGCAAGUUCAAUGAACAGACUUACAUGCCAUUUUCUGAGUAAAGAGUUUGAGGUUUUAAUUUAAAGGCAGUGUACAGUUAUACUUUUUUAUAUGCUCUUUUAGUCAGUUAAAUUAUGGCCUACACUGAUCUGAGAUGUUCUCCAUGUGAGCUGUCUUCAUUUCUCUGUGCUGUGUCCAGAUGUGGGGUUGCUGCAGCAGGGGUUCCGUGGCAAGUGCCAUUGCAGGGGUAACCUUGUGCAGGGCCCCAACACUUAUGUGUUUAGAGACUAUUUUCACUCUAUCUCUGCUUUAGUUUUUGCAGAUUAACAGUUUUAUUAGUGAUUUGGAAAGUUAACAGUAAGAAGACUAACUUUUCAAAACAGCUGCGUCUGUAGACUAAGAUGCCUUACAUUAGACCCUUGUGUCUUGAUGUAUAUCUGUAUAUAUUAUUUGAUAUUCAGAGAAUCUAUAGAGUUCACCCACUGUUGAAUGAGAGCUCGUGGCUUCUGACAGCAGAUCUGGUCAACUGCUUGAAGCCAGUUGACCACCCAGUUAAGAUGUGGCUCUGGCCUGAGUGGAGCUGCUGAGAAGACUGAUUCUCAUUGGCCAGGGCUCCAAGCUCCAUGACAGAGCACUGGAAAAGCUCCUAGGACUUUGUAGUAGUCACAGGCUUCACAGGCUUCACAGUCCCUGUGUCACUCACUGGAGAGCUGGAGGGGUUCCACUCCCUCCCACACACACAUGUAAGUUCCUCCAAUUGUGCGUGUCCUCGGGUGCAGUGGAAUUUUAGUGAGCCCCACGGAUGGGCACAGAGAAGACUUUGUUAGCUCGGACAGUGUGCAGUGGUGCACAUCUGCAGCUUGUAUUCCUUCAGGGUUUGGCGGGAGCGCUGUUUCGCAGUGGCUGUGUGUCAGGAGAACUUACCAGCAGAAAUCCUUGUUCCUAAGCUACAGAAUGACCAAAAGUUGUAAAGUCCUUAAUAUUUAGAAACUCCUUUAAAUGUAUAAUAUUUUAGAACAACCACAACAAAACUCAAUAAACAGUUGAUCCUUGUGUGUUUGACAGCC